UACGGGGGGGGCAAGCGUUGUUCGGAAUUACUGGGCGUAAAGGGCUCGUAGGCGGCCAACUAAGUCAGACGUGAAAUCCCUCGGCUCAACCGGGGAACUGCGUCUGAUACUGGAUGGCUUGAAUCCGGGAGAGGGAUGCGGAAUUCCAGGUGUAGCGGUGAAAUGCGUAGAUAUCUGGAGGAACACCGGUGGCGAAGGCGGCAUCCUGGACCGGUAUUGACGCUGAGUGAGCGAAAGCCAGGGGAGCAAACGGG
rnacentral:rRNA from 1 species